rnacentral:rRNA from 1 species
UACGUAGGGUCCGAGCGUUUGUCCGGAAUUAUUGGGCGUAAAGGGCUCGUAGGCGGUUUGUCGCGUCGGGAGUGAAAACACCGGGCUUAACUCGGUGCUUGCUUUCGAUACGGGCAGACUAGAGUGCGGUAGGGGAGAUUGGAAUUCCUGGUGUAGCGGUGAAAUGCGCAGAUAUCAGGAGGAACACCGGUGGCGAAGGCGGGUCUCUGGGCCGAAACUGACGCUGAGGAGCGAAAGCGUGGGGAGCAAACAGG